rnacentral:rRNA from 1 species
GUCGAACGGUAGAGGGGGCAACCCCUCGAGAGUGGCGAACGGGUGAGUAAUAUAUCGGAACGUGCUCAGUCGUGGGGGAUAACGUAGCGAAAGUUACGCUAAUACCGCAUACGAUCUACGGAUGAAAGCGGGGGACUCGCAAGAGCCUCGCGCGAUUGGAGCGGCCGAUAUCAGAUUAGGUAGUUGGUGGGGUAAAGGCUCACCAAGCCAACGAUCUGUAGCUGGUCUGAGAGGACGACCAGCCACACUGGAACUGAGACACGGUCCAGACUCCUACGGGAGGCAGCAGUGGGGAAUUUUGGACAAUGGACGCAAGUCUGAUCCAGCCAUUCCGCGUGCAGGAUGAAGGCCCUCGGGUUGUAAACUGCUUUUGUACGGAACGAAAAGGUCUCUAUUAAUACUAGGGGCUCAUGACGGUACCGUAAGAAUAAGCACCGGCUAACUACGUGCCAGCAGCCGCGGUAAUACGUAGGGUGCAAGCGUUAAUCGGAAUUACUGGGCGUAAAGCGUGCGCAGGCGGUUAUGUAAGACAGAGGUGAAAUCCCCGGGCUCAACCUGGGAACUGCCUUUGUGACUGCAUAGCUAGAGUACGGUAGAGGGGGAUGGAAUUCCGCGUGUAGCAGUGAAAUGCGUAGAUAUGCGGAGGAACACCGAUGGCGAAGGCAAUCCCCUGGACCUGUACUGACGCUCAUGCACGAAAGCGUGGGGAGCAAACAGGAUUAGAUACCCUGGUAGUCCACGCCCUAAACG